rnacentral:rRNA from 1 species
UACGUAGGGUGCGAGCGUUGUCCGGAAUUAUUGGGCGUAAAGGGCUCGUAGGCGGUUUGUCGCGUCGGGAGUGAAAACGCCGUGCUUAACACGGCGCUUGCUUUCGAUACGGGCAGACUAGAGGUAUUCAGGGGAGAACGGAAUUCCUGGUGUAGCGGUGAAAUGCGCAGAUAUCAGGAGGAACACCGGUGGCGAAGGCGGUUCUCUGGGAAUGACCUGACGCUGAGGAGCGAAAGUGUGGGGAGCGAACAGGAUUAGAUACCCUGGUAGUCCACACCGUAAACGUUGGGCGCUAGGUGUGGGGUCCAUUCCACGGAUUCCGUGCCGCAGCUAACGCAUUAAGCGCCCCGCCUGGGGAGUACGGCCGCAAGGCUAAA